rnacentral:tRNA from 1 species
GUGGCACAGUGGCUAGUGCACUGAUCUCUCAAGCCUGAGGUUCUGGGUUCAAUCCCCGGC